GGUUCCGUAGUGUAGUGGAAAAAUAUCACGUUCGCUUCACACGCGAAAAAGGUCUCCGGUUUUGAUCCCGGGCGGAACCA